rnacentral:miRNA from 1 species
GCGGUUUAUUGGAAUUAAUU